GACGAACGCUGGCGGCGUGCCUAAUACAUGCAAGUCGAGCGCAGGAAAUCAUCCGAACCCUUCGGGGGGACGUUGAUGGAAUGAGCGGCGGACGGGUGAGUAACACGUAAAGAACCUGCCCUCAGGUCUGGGAUAACCACGAGAAAUCGGGGCUAAUACCGGAUGGGUCAUCGGACCGCAUGGUCCGAGGAUGAAAGGCGCUUCGGCGUCGCCUGGGGAUGGCUUUGCGGUGCAUUAGCUAGUUGGUGGGGUAAUGGCCCACCAAGGCGACGGUGCAUAGCCGACCUGAGAGGGUGAUCGGCCACACUGGGACUGAGACACGGCCCAGACUCCUACGGGAGUCAGCAGUAGGGAAUCUUCCACAAUGGACGAAAGUCUGAUGGAGCAACGCCGCGUGAACGAGGAAGGCCUUCGGGUCGUAAAGUUCUGUUGUAAGGGAAGAACAAGUGCCGCAGGCAAUGGCGGCACCUUGACGGUACCUUGCGAGAAAGCCACGGCUAACUACGUGCCAGCAGCCGCCGUAA
rnacentral:rRNA from 1 species